rnacentral:tRNA from 1 species
GGUAUAGCGCAGUCUGGUAGCGCAUCUGGUUUGGGACCAGAGGGUCGGGGGUUCAAAUCCCUCUACC